AGACGUGCAGACGGUGUGAGGAGCGUGGAAAAGUAGCAGCUUCAUCUUCUGACACGUUUCUGUUCAGUAGGACCCAUCAGGAGUUGACAUCUAUACUGGACACAAGUGGAGCGUUUCAGAAUGAGCAAGAGGGGGAAGAGAAGGAACAGCAACCGGAGGAAGAGCUCCAGCAGCAGCAAACAAAGUCCCUCACCUUUCACCAUUCCAAUGCUGAACCCAAGUAAUACUGUCAGUUACAAAGAGGACACAGUGGAAAAGGGUGAAACCGACACUCUUCGAAAGGAAACUGUUCGAUCAAAAUUUGAAGAUAAAGAGCACGCAUGCAAAGAAAACAAAUACAAACAAGAGUACAGCGUUGAUUUUCCUCCAGGACAACGAAACUUUUACACCAAAACUACAGAGGCU